UGGGGAAUAUUGGACAAUGGGCGCAAGCCUGAUCCAGCCAUACCGCGUGGGUGAAGAAGGCCUUCGGGUUGUAAAGCUCUUUUGGCGGGGACGAUGAUGACGGUACCCGCAGAAUAAGCCCCGGCUAACUUCGUGCCAGCAGCCGCGGUAAGACGAAGGGGGCGAGCGUUGUUCGGAAUCACUGGGCGUAAAGGGCGCGUAGGCGGCGCAGUCAGUCAGGCGUGAAAGCCCCGAGCUCAACUUGGGAAUAGCGCUUGAUACUAUUGUGCUAGAGAGCGGGAGAGGAUGGUGGAAUUCCCAGUGUAGAGGUGAAAUUCGUAGAUAUUGGGAAGAACACCGGUGGCGAAGGCGGCCAUCUGGACCGUUUCUGACGCUGAGGCGCGAAAGCGUGGGGAGCAAA
rnacentral:rRNA from 1 species